GAACAUAUGAAAGAAUUUUGAAUUGUCACCUAAUUAUAGACAAGAGAUUUAGGAGAAUACAUUUGCAAAGUUGAGGAUAAAAGUCAGCACAAAAUAGCUGGUACAAAUUAGAAAUUACAUACAAAGCAGGUCCAGCCAGUGAAUUUAUUCUACUCUCUCCCAUCCUCAGUUCCCAAAUGUGUCGCACCUAAAUCCCCUUCCUCAACUUCUUCUAAACGUCUUCUUACAUGUUCUGGGUGCAGGACCAUGAACACCAGCAUUUUCAACUGCCAUUUCUAUGUGUGUUCUAUUUCUUGUUGCUGGUAGUCUCUUGACUUGGGGUUAGUUUUUCUUGAACCCAAAUUCUUGAAGCUUUACUCUCUCCUCCAAGUUUUUUCACUGUGUCACAUAAAACUGAAGUUUGACCUUCAACUUUCCCAGACAACAGGUCACCAAAAUUUUGAUCUUUUGGGACCUGCUGUUGUGGUGUAUUCGCCAACGAAGCAGC
rnacentral:misc_RNA from 1 species